rnacentral:lncRNA from 1 species
CUCAUGGAAAACCCACCCUAUCCAUCACUGAGAUGGGGGAUUGCUGAGGAGGCCUCAUCUUCCCACAUGCUCAUGCGGCCCUUUAUUUUCAGUGGAGGAAUGGUAACAAAGAGGUCUGCUGUCCAGAGCUCGAGAUUCCUGCCGCAUCGAACCAGGACCAUUCCCCGUCUGCCAUGACCUUGUCUUUCCUUACUGUGUCUGCAAUGACCCUGUUUUCAGAGGUCAUACGGAGGUCCUAGGGAUUUGGAUUCCAACAUGUUUUCCCUUGGGAGAGCACUGUUCCCUUGGGAGAGCACUGUUCCCUUGGGAGAGCACUGUUCCCUUGGGAGAGCACUGUUCCCCAGCUGGGGGCGCUGCUUAAGAAGAAUGUGGAGCUUUUAAAAGUAGAACUUUGAAGGCUAAACUCAUCUCAGGGUUUGGCCUAGCCAGGUUCUCUGAUUCUUGUAAGGAACCUGUCACACACUUCUGCCACCAUGAAUUUAGCUAUGCCUUCAUUACUAUGAGAACUAAAUAAAACCCAGA